UAUUGCGAGAUUUUUGAGCCUCAUCCCCCACGUCCCUUUAACCUUUUGAACACUGGUACAAAAGCACGAACCAUUCUUUCUAGUCAGUUCAUAUCUCUUUCUUGGUUCAUUCAUUCGCCUUGUCAUCUCAAACAACCUUCUGGCCACUGCUGUGAAGAAUCGGCGAGACACUUUUCUGAUCCGGAACCCUCCUCGAUUUCUUAUGGUAACCAGGGUUGAAUCGGGGUUGUGUGAAGAGAGCGACUAGGAGUUGGAACUUAUGAGUUGGAAACUUGGAGACUUUAAUUUUUUAUUUUUUGUGAACUCUUUGACUUUUGAGUUAGGUGUACCUAUCUCUUUCCGGAUGGUAUUAGAACUUUGUAAGUUAGACGAUUUAUUCCUUUUCGUACUUUGGUAAUUCAAGUGUUUCUUUUGGACUUAAGAUGUUCUGUUGGCAUUUGUCGUGACCUCCUGUUCCGUAUUGGGGCGGGGGUGUUACAUUAAGGUUAUCACCAUGCACAAGCUCAUCUUCAUUAUCAUUAAUAUUUGGCUCAUUUUUUACUUUUCCCAUUCUAAUAAAAGUUUGAGCCAAAAGUGAUUUAAUAGGAAGAAUUUGACCUUUUUUAAGAAUUCAUCGGGUAGCUCAUGUUGUAAAAUAGCCAUGAUUAGUCUAGGGUACAUCAAAAGUUUCUUUGUAGAUGUGACAUUUGAGCAAGCUCCUUGAAUUUUUUAUUAGAAAGUUUAAAGGCAGACUUUGUUAAAAUAGACUGGUUUAAUACAUUUGAAGAUAUCUUAACAGUCUGUAAAGAUCCAACAGUUGUUGAUAUGCACCAAAUGCAACAUAUAAAUUAUAUCAAAAAAGGUAUAAAAUCAACCCUUUUUAGUACUAAUGUUGGAAAAAGUGUGUUUCUUUGUAUACUUUUGAUUUUCAGGAUUAAAAGAGCUUAAAUAUACAAAAGGAACAAAUUAACGGCAAAAACCAGCAUAAAUACAAAAGAAGGGAAGUUGAUGCAUCAUACCGACCCUCCGAGCUUCACCCCAAGACCAAAAACAACGAAUUAGAAGAAAAGCACGGGGCCGUGCCACCAAGGCAUGGGGUCGUGCCCCACUCAAGAUUACAGAAAGAAAAAGACAAAUAGAAGCAGACAAGAGACAUGGGGCCGUGUCCAAUGGACACGCGUCGUGGUCAACUCCCAGAUUUGUAGAAUCUUGGAUAGUAUAGCAAGUACAUGGGCCAUGGGGCCAUUCCGUUGACACACGGAGCUGUGUAAGCAUAUGGACUGACACAGCUCAUUAAAUGAAGAUAAAGAAGAAGGAGGUUCAGGGCAGUGCCCUCCGGUCACGCAGCCAUGUAAACCGUCUGUUUCCAGCUAUAAAUAGGGGUGUUUGGUUCAAUUGCAAUCCAUCCCUUGGAAAACCACUUCUCUUACACCCGCUACCACACCACUCCACCACCAUCAUCCACCACAUUUAUCCAUCUCCAUCUUUAGAGUAUGUAGUAGUCUCGGGAUCCAAGAUUGAUCAUAAGAGGUUUUUUUCAAACAAAGGCCAUGAUUGGCUAAUCUCUUACAUCACUUGGUCAAGACAAGUCAUUUAUGUAUCACUUUUGAUUUCCAAUCUUUGGUUAACUUUUUAAUUGGGUUUAUAUUAAUGACUUUAAUGACUA